AGUGAACGCUGGCGGCAGGCCUAACACAUGCAAGUCGAGCGGGCACACUCGGGUGUCUGCGGCGGACGGGUGGGUAACGCCUGGGAACGUGCCCUUUGGUCCGGAAUAACUCAGGCAAACUUGAGCUAAUACCGGAUACGCCCCUAUGGGGAAAUGCGUGCUGCCGGAGGAUCGGCGCGAGCCUGAUUAGUUGGUUGGUGAGGUAACGGGUCACCGAGGCGGCAAUUAGGAGCGGGGAAGAGAGGCUGAUCCGCCACACCGGGGCUGGGACGCGGCGCGGAAUCCUACGGAAGGGGGGAGUGGGGGAUAUUGGAAAAUGGGGGGAGGGCUGAACGAGCCAGGCCGGGAAAGUGAUGUAGGCCUUAGGGUAGUAAAGCUCUUUUAUCCGGGACGGUAAUGACGGUACCGAAGGAAUAAGCCCCGGCUAACUUCGUG
rnacentral:rRNA from 1 species